rnacentral:tRNA from 1 species
UCCCAGUUGGCUCAGCUGGUAGAGAAUCUGCUGUAAUGCAGGAGACCUGGGUUCAAUCCCUGGGUUGGGAA